AGCGAACGCUGGCGGCAGGCCUAACACAUGCAAGUCGAACGGACCCUUCGGGGUUAGUGGCGGACGGGUGAGUAACACGUGGGAACGUGCCUUUAGGUUCGGAAUAGCUCCUGGAAACGGGUGGUAAUGCCGAAUGUGCCCUUCGGGGGAAAGAUUUAUCGCCUUUAGAGCGGCCCGCGUCUGGUUAGCUAGUUGGUGGGGUAAUGGCCCACCAAGGCUACGAUCAGUAGCUGGUCUGAGAGGAUGACCAGCCACAUUGGGACUGAGACACGGCCCAAACUCCUACGGGAGGCAGCAGUGGGGAAUCUUGCGCAAUGGGCGAAAGCCUGACGCAGCCAUGCCGCGUGUAUGAUGAAGGUCUUAGGAUUGUAAAAUACUUUCACCGGUGAAGAUAAUGACUGUAGCCGGAGAAGGAGCCCCGGCUAACUUCGUGCCAGCCGCCGCCGUAACAC
rnacentral:rRNA from 1 species